ensembl:lncRNA
GUGUGUGUGUGUAGGCUAGCUACUUAUGUGAUGCUACUUUCCAAAGACAUCUUCUACAAAGAUAUACUUGGGAAAAAGUCUCCAAGUUACAGAAUGUUCGAAUAUUUAUCUUUGGUUCAUGAUCUUCUGUUUCUUUGGGUGUACCAACCUCCUUUGUUGACAUUUCUCUAUGGAUUUGCCUUGGUGUUUGUUCUAUGUGAGAAACAAGAGUCUUGAAAUCACUUCUCCUGAUGUGUGUAAAUACAAAAAGUUAGAAAGAUAUUGUUCUGAACCAAAACUUUGCAUAAUUGAGUUAUUUUUAUUGAGAUUCUAAUAACUUGAUUGCUAUGAACAAUCAUUGUACAAUGUAAAUGUUCAUUGCUCUCAUUGUUAAUAAAAAAUGAUUGGUCAAUUGCUAGACAGGAAGAGAUUGGGGGAGACAGCUUGACACAGAGAGAAUUCUGGGAAGAAGAAGGGUGGAGUCAGCAGAGUUGCCAGCAGACACAGAAGCAGCAGGAGGUGAAUGUGCCAUGUUUAAAAAGGUACUACCACAUGGCAAAGCAUAAAUAAGGAAUAUUGGUUAACUUAAAAUGUAAGAGCUAGUUAGUAAUAAGUCUGAGCCUUUAGCUGAUCUUUUACAAUUAAUAUAAGUCUCUGUAUGUUAAUUUGGGAACUGUUGGGUGACAGAGAAAUGUCUGAUUAUACCUACCAACUGAUGGGGCUGUAGAGAGUGAUAUGAAAUUCAUAUUCCCAUCACUAUGACAGAAACCUGUGAAAAUUAGAUACAAAGAGAGAAGGUUUAUGUUGGUCCGUUUGGGAGCUUUGGAUCGUGACUGAGUUUCCCCAGGCCUUCAGACUAGUGGUGAGUUGGUCAUCAUAACCUAGGCAUUUGUGGGACCAAAGACUUCAACUUCAUCCACCAGGAAGCCAAAUAAAUUGAAGGACAAAAGUGUUCCACAAUUCAUGUCAAGGGUGCAUUGCCAGUUAUCUGAAGAACUCCCAUGGUUCUCUAACUUUUAAAAGUUGUAGCACUUUCAAGUGUUUCCAUCUGGGGACCAAGAUAUAGGCCUUUGAGGGUCACUUAAGACUUAAACUCCAGUAAAUGAAAGGCUUCAGUGUCUAAGCAUCAUGGGAAACAAUACAAACACCAUCAAAUUUGCCAUUCAAAGGCUUCAAUGGAAACUUUUAUGGCAACAUAAUGUGCCUUUCAGUGUGGAUUUAUAUUUCUAUGUAUACUGCAUUCAAAACAUGGAUCAAAUUAUCAACAGCAUCAGUACUCUAUUUAUGUCCAAUUAGGCAUAAUAAGAUAAGAUGUUGUUUUCUAAGUUUAUAUUUUUACACUUUAUUUUUAGUUGGUACCCCUAUUUUUUUUUGACACAGGAACUAUGGGAAGCAGAUAGGAGCUGUGUGGUGAUACUGAUGAUUUAUUAAAUUUAGACGAAUCUCAGCAAAGCAAAGCAGCAGGACACUAGAUACUUACCUCCACCUCAGACUGAAUAGGCUGAUCCUGUCUCUAUGAGCUCUCACCAAGUCUCAGACUAUCAUCUCUCCUCAGUGUGGCUGGAGAAUGAAUGCCUUACACUCUCCUCGAGCCUGUCUUUUAUACCCCUCUAGUGCUGGGAUUAAAGGUGUGAGCAUUGAUUCUCUUUUAGACUAAUUCAAUUUCAUGUAUAUCUCAGUAGCCUUGGACUCACGGAGAUCCACCUACCUCUUAAUCCUGAAUCCUAGUAUUAAAGGUGUGAACCACCAACUCCUAACCUCUGGCUGUUGGAAUUAGGUGUGUGCCUGGCUUCAAUGGCUUGUGGCUGACUUUGAUUUCUGAAUCCUCAGACAAGAUUUAAUACAUCAUAGAAAAUAUAUGAAGAAAUAUACAAGGAAAAUAUACAAAUCCCCUUUUUGCUCUAGUUAGUAUUGUAGUAUAAUUUACUAGUUUGAAGCAUCAUAAUGUGAUAAUCUGAUGGAGAAGGGGUGUUUGUUGAUAUCCUUAGGGCACUACAUAAUUGGGGACCAUACACACAGGGAUCUGUGUCUUUAUUAGAAAAGAAGUUAUAAUGAGAGGAGAUUCAAGUAGAAAUAGAGGCCGGGAUUGUCAUGAAUGAAGAACCAUUCAGAGAUAGUCAUGGCUUGCCAAGAGUUACCAAAAACAACAAUCCUGCCAUGGAGCCUGGAAUGGGAUUGCGCUUGUCCAUUACCUUUUCAGGAUUUUGUCUUCUGAUCCUAGGAGUGAAAACACUUCUCUUUUAAGCCACAUUCAAUGUUGCAUUGGUAGCUCUGAGAAGCUAAUGUUGAAACUGGAUAAAAUAAUAGUGAUAAUAAAAAUAAUCAGUUCUAUGAAACAAGAGAUUCUCUGGACUCAAAGACCAGGUCCUGUCUGCAAGGCUGGAAACAUCUCCAAGAAGCUCUCAGCAAUCCUCAGAAACCUACUGCUCAGGAAAGAGCAGGAACAGUAUCCUUGAGACUUCGUUCUUCGCUUUCAGCACAUUGGUGGAUGAAGAUAAGCAGAGUCCUCCAACUGGUAGCACAGCAGAGAUUCAGACACUGCAGAAUGCUCAGCCCUAAAAUAGUCUGUGCAUCUUAUAUUCUUCCUCCUCUCAAGGCUUGGGAUCAUCAUGGAUAUGGACAGGGUUUCUUUGUGGCUUUGGAUGAUGUCCUGGAACUAGCUCUUGUAGACCAGGCUGGUCUCGAACUCACAGAGAUCUGCCCGCCUCUACCUCCAGAGUGCUGGGAUUAAAGUCUCUGAGGUUCCUGCUUCCAUGACAAGAAUACAAAUUCCAAGAUUCCAGUGUCUCUUCAGAGGAAUGUCCCACCUCUUCAGCAACAAGAAAGAACAGAUCAUUUCAUAAAACAACACUUUCAUGUUCAGUUUCCACUGUAGGUUUCCAGCUGACGGGAGCAUCCAUGAGUUAUACAAUGGUCUGCAUUUUCUAUGUGGUGAUUGUGAGGGUGGAACUGGUCACAGCCCUCUCUCAUCAUAGGAUUCUCUUUCCUUUCUUUAUCACCACCAACUGUGUCUGUUGCUCUGGAUUCCAUCAGCCUGUAAAAUCCCUAGUAUCUCUGCCUUAUGAUCCACAUCCUGGAAUUUUGCCAUCUUUUGCCUCCCAACCUUCGUGGAAGAAUGCUUUUUUCUUCAAAGGGUGUGGAAUGACUUAGUGCUAUCUCUUUUGGUGUUUUCUUCACACUCAUUUUCAUUUUGAUAAAAUUUUAAAUUAUUAAGUGCAGUGCUUCGGUAGACAGACACAAAGAUAAGACAAGACUAUAUAAAACCCAGCCUAGCCAUUUGAAAUAAACCAGGUCCAGACAUUACACUACUGCAAACCAUUUUUACAGCUGCAAAGGUGAGUUUAUUAUGCCCUAGGCAAACCAGAAAUCUAGCUUUGCACAAGAUAAUUUAUUGCUCUAACAAACUAUUCUCAUAUUCAUCUCAUGUUUGAAAAUCACAAUUUGUUUUUCAAGAAAUUAUUUUUUUAGUUCAAAUUAGAAACAAGCCUGCUUCACCUGUCACUCUCUGCCCCCUCUCCCUCCCCUCCUCCCCCACCCUCCAUCAAAUACCCACCCCAUACCCCCUCUGCUCCCCAGGGAGGGUAAGCAGAGGUAUGGAGGAUCCCCAAUGUCUAUAAUAUCAUCCUGGGCAAGGCCUAGGCCCUUCUCCAAGUGUUCAGGCUGAGAGAGCAUCCCUCCAUGUGGGAUGGGUUCCCAAAGUCCUUUCUUACUCCAGGAAUAAAAUACUGAUGUACUACUAGAGGGCCCAUAGUGUACUGAGGCCUCCUCAUUGAUAUCCACUUUCAGGGGUCUGGAUCAGUCCCAUGAUGGCCUUCUAUACAUCAGUCGGGUGUCCAUGCACUCCCCCUUGUUGAGGUCAGUUGUUUCUGUGGGUUUCACCAGCCUGGUCUUGAUCUCUUUGCUCAUCACUCCUCCCUCUCUGCAACUAGGUUCCAGAAUUCAGUUCAGUGUUUAGCUGUGGGUGUCUGCCUCUGCUUCCAUCAGCCACUGGAUGAAGGCUCUAGGAUGGCAUAUAAGGUUGUCAUCAAUCUCAUUAUAGGGGAAGGGCAUUCAUGGUAGCCUCUCCAAUAGUGCUUAGUUUGCCUGUUGGUGUCAUCCUUGUUGAUCUCUGGAAAUCUCCCUAGUGCCAGAUCUAUCCUCGAAUCUAUAUUGGCUCCCUCUAUUAUAGUAUUUCUCAUCUCUAUAGUAUUGCUGUCCUCUAUUCUUCCCCCCCCCCACUGAACUUUCCUGUUACCCCAUUUCCUCCUCUCCCCUCCUCUUCUCCCCCUCUUUUUCUCCCAGCUCCCUCUAUUCAGACAAAUACCACACCCCCAGAACAUCAUGAUCUGUAUUUAAAGAAAACAUUAAAUAAAGCAAGGCAGUGGUUCUGAGUCUGUCACACAUACAUUAGUUCAGGGGUAUCUUAAUAAGUAAGAAAUAAGCCCACAGUAGAGCAAGUUUCUUUAGCUUAAGAUUGGGUGGCAGCCUGUACAUGACACUCAGGAGAGAAAUAUUUCAGACCAUCAUGCAUAUUCAAGCAUUCGCUUAAAUUCUGUGCUAAAGCUGCAUGUCCUGACAUUUUCUCAAAAGCAAGCCUGUCCAUGCAAUGGAAAUUCACUUCUUUGCAACAGGGUUGUUCAGAAUAACUUCCAUAUGACAUAGUCACACAUUUGAUGAAGUUCAACAUCAAAUUGCUAUUAAAAUAAAUAUAACUACUAAAAUCAAUGGAGCACAUCUAUUAGCAAAAAUUGCCUUUUACCUUUUCUGGGUCAAUUCUGUAAACAUUUGGAUAAAAUACAGUAUGAAAGAAUACAGUGUUGUAUCCUUGGUAUUUUAAAUUCCGAUUUAUGCUCUGA